CACGUAGUUAGCCGUGGCUUAUUCAAGAGGUACCGUCUUCUGCUCUUCCCUCUUAAAAGAAGUUUACAACCCGAAAGCCUUCUUCCUUCACGCGGCGUUGCUGGGUCAGGCUUGCGCCCAUUGCCCAAUAUUCCCCACUGCUGCCUCCCGUAGGAGUCUGGGCCGUAUCUCAGUCCCAAUGCGGCCGGUCAACCUCUCAGUCCGGCUACUGAUCGUCGCCUAGGUGGGCCGUUACCCCGCCUACUAGCUAAUCAGACGCGAGGCCAUCUUCCAGCGAUAAAUCUUUGACAUUCAAACCAUGCGAUUCAAAUGUGUCAUGCGGUAUUAGCAGUCGUUUCCAACUGUUGUCCCCCUCUGGAAGGCAGGUUCCUCACGCGUUACUCACCAGUCCGCCACUAAGCAUUCCUCUCCAUUGUCCGAAAACUCUUUCAAGGGUGCUCCGUUCGACUUGCAUGUGUUAAGCACGCCGCCAGCGUGUCCUGUGCGCGAGUCAACUAC
rnacentral:rRNA from 1 species